rnacentral:tRNA from 2 species
GGCUUCGUAGUACAACGGAUAGUAUGUAGGUUUCCGGAACCUAAGAUAGUGGUUCGAUUCCACUCGAGGCUACCA